rnacentral:siRNA from 1 species
UCUAAUAGUAAGGUUGUUUGU